rnacentral:misc_RNA from 1 species
AAUCACAUCCAAAUUUGGUUUGUUUGUUGUCAAAUCAAUUUUUGGGAUUUGGGCUCUGCAGAAUUAAUUUUAGUUUAGCUGGCCUUAAACGAUUUAGCCAUAUCUUAAAUGUUCUGGGUGACAAGGCGUAAUAGUUGGUACUUUCGGGUCCAUCCCUUUCGCUGAAACCUAUCUUUUACGAAAUCUUGGCUCAAUAAUAUGGAAAAAUGAUAUAUAUCAUUA